ACCAUCUCAUAAAGUUAAACUACAAGCAAAGCAUGAACUACACACAGAAAGUACAUUUGCUAACCAUGUGUAUUUUUUAUUUUAAUUAGUUUUAUCCAUUUAAACACUGUAAAUUACUUCUAAUCUGUAAACCACCAAAUGACGUCAUUUAACUUUAUUCUAUUGAAGUUAACAAGCAGUGACGUCACUUCCGGUCACUACCUUUAGCUUAAUUGAUAAUUAAACCUAAUUACUGGGCAGCAGGAGCGAAAGGGGAUGCGCUUACUUUCUUCUGCAAAUGUCUUCGAGAAACGCGCCCUGUCUGCUCCCCAGCAGAUGGUCCGAGGGAAGAAGAUGGAGAGGAAAAAAAAAAGAAGAUAAAUGACUGCGUGCAAGAGUUUCAAAAUAGGAGACGGAGAAGCGUUUCGACCCUUUCCCCAUCGUCCACCCUUUGCACCUCUCUCCUCUUGACCAGGUGUGUCUGCUCAGCUGCCGCACGCACAACUGCAUGUUGGAAAGUUUAUCAUUACCUAAUUGCUGCUGUCGACUCCAAUUGGGAUUUUAGGUGA
rnacentral:lncRNA from 1 species